rnacentral:rRNA from 1 species
AGAGUUUGAUCAUGGCUCAGAGCGAACGGCGGCGUUAACACAUGCAAGUCGAGUGCGCGUCCGUAGCAAUACGGAUGGCGCACGGCGCACGGGUGCGUAACACGUGGGCAUCUGCCCUCGGAUGGGGGAACUCGCCGAAAGGCGAGCUAAUACCGCAUGACAUUCCUGGGACUCCGGUCCCGGGACUCAAAGGCCGCAAGGCCGUCUGAGGAGGAGCCCGCGCCCGAUUAGCUAGUUGGUGAGGUAACGGCUCACCAAGGCUUUGAUCGGUAGCCGGUCUGAGAGGAUGGCCGGCCACACUGGAACUGAGACACGGUCCAGACUCCUACGGGAGGCAGCAGUGGGGAAUAUUGCGCAAUGGGCGAAAGCCUGACGCAGCGACGCCGCGUGGGGGAUGAAGCUUCUCGGAGUGUAAACCCCUUUCGACCCGGACGAAUGACCCGCAAGGGUUUGACGGUACGGGUAUAAGAAGCCCCGGCUAACUACGUGCCAGCAGCCGCGGUAAUACGUAGGGGGCCAGCGUUGCUCGGAAUUACUGGGCGUAAAGGGUUCGUAGGUGGUGCGGCAAGUUGGAAGUGAAAUCUCUGGGCUUAACCCAGAGGCUGCUUUCAAACUGCCGUGCUCGAGUGCGAGAGAGGUCAGUGGAAUUGCAGGUGUAGCGGUGAAAUGCGUAGAUAUCUGCAGGAACACCCGUGGCGAAGGCGGCUGACUGGAUCGCAACUGACACUGAGGAACGAAAGCUAGGGGAGCAAACAGGAUUAGAUACCCUAGUAGUCC